GAUUUUGUAGCUCAGCUGGAUAGAGCGUCUGUCUUCUAAGCAGAUGGUCGAAGGUUCGAAUCCUUACAAAAUCA
rnacentral:tRNA from 2 species